CAAAGACACCCAAAGCAGCUUUAUUUUGGCAGUCUGUAACAGGCCAAAGUUAUGUUUUGGUUUUUUGUUCAUGCUAUAGUCCUGGUCCCUUUCACACUACACAAUUUUAGCACUAUCCUUAACCACCAUACAUCCUUGCUGUAAAAUCCUGGUGUUUUCAAUUUAGGGGAGGGGAUCUUUAUAAUCCUCAGCCAGGGAUCUCCUCUGGUGCCUCUGAACAAACUACAAAAGCCAGGAUUCCAUAGGAGGCAGCCGUGACAGUUAAAGUGGAAUCAUAGUGCUUAUAACUGUAUAGUCCAGAAGGAUCCCUGCUCAGGAAAAGAGAAACAUCUGAGCAAAACUGCUAGCCAUUUCAGCGUGUUUGAGGCAGAAGGAUCCUCCGAAACCUUUUGAAAAGCUUUAGAAGACUUCUCUGAAGUGCAUCAGGGAAAGGGCUGAGCAAACCUCAAGCCCUUUGCCUAAAGCAGUGGUUCCCAACCUUCCUAAUGCUGUGACCCUUUAAUACAGUUCCUCAUGUUGUGGUGACCCCCAACCAUGAAAUUAUUUCCGUUGCUACUUCAUAACUGUAAUUAAAUAGGUGUUUUCUGAUGGUCUUAGGCGACCCCUGUGAAAGGGUCAUUAGACCCCCAAAGGGGUCCCGACCCACAGGUUGGGAACCACUGGCCUAAAGCAUUUGCUGCUUACAAGAAGAGCUGGUCACAUGAGACUGACAUCUCCCUAUUAUUUUCCACUGUCCUCAUUUUGGUUUAGACUCUGUAGGCACUCACCACAUGAGUUUACUGUUAAAAGGAGUCAUUACAUCCAGAUCCACCAACCUAAAAAAAUCAUUGACAGAAAGAGGACGUGACCACCCCCCACCCCCAUCUCUGUGCAACCACAAAGGAUUUGUUUUUGCUGGAUUUCUUGCAGAAUUUCCUACAGACUAAAACCAGAAAUGAACGGUAUUGGAUUGGGCUCCAUGACAAACACACAGAAGGAGAAUGGAAAUGGUUGGAUGGCAGUAACUAUAGAACAGGUUUCAAGAACUGGAAAACAGGGGAACCUAACACUUAUUUAGGCCGUGAUGAGGAUUGUGGCCAACUUUGGAUCAAUGGAGAAUGGAACGAUUACACCUGCAGUUCCAAUAGCUAUUAUAUCUGUGAGAAGCCUUUGCCAAGCAAACCCACAACUGCACCAAAGAAGACCUGAGCAUCUACCACCAUUUUUGAAGAAGGACCUAGACAUAAAGGGCCUAAGAACUACCCAAGAGUUACUGAUAAAUGAUGGAGAUAUAAGGAAGCCAACACAGAUGUUUCCCGUGUAUUUUGGUCAUGCUUAUUAAUGAAAAGGUUUUGAUUUCUGUUUUGGGAGAAACUGAAAAUACAACAUUAUGUUUUGCCAUUAGAUCCAUUAAUAA